rnacentral:rRNA from 1 species
GACGAACGCUGGCGGCGUGCCUAAUACAUGCAAGUCGAGCGAGCGGAACUAACAGAUUUACUUCGGUAAUGACGUUAGGAAAGCGAGCGGCGGAUGGGUGAGUAACACGUGGGGAACCUGCCCCAUAGUCUGGGAUACCACUUGGAAACAGGUGCUAAUACCGGAUAAGAAAGCAGAUCGCAUGAUCAGCUUUUAAAAGGCGGCGUAAGCUGUUGCUAUGGGAUGGCCCCGCGGUGCAUUAGCUAGUUGGUAAGGUAAAGGCUUACCAAGGCGAUGAUGCAUAGCCGAGUUGAGAGACUGAUCGGCCACAUUGGGACUGAGACACGGCCCAAACUCCUACGGGAGGCAGCAGUAGGGAAUCUUCCACAAUGGACGCAAGUCUGAUGGAGCAACGCCGCGUGAGUGAAGAAGGUUUUCGGAUCGUAAAGCUCUGUUGUUGGUGAAGAAGGAUAGAGGUAGUAACUGGCCUUUAUUUGACGGUAAUCAACCAGAAAGUCACGGCUAACUACGUG